UACAGAGGGUGCGAGCGUUAAUCGGAAUUACUGGGCGUAAAGCGCUCGUAGGCGGCUUGGCAUGUCGGGUGUGAAAUCCCCGGGCUCAACCUGGGAACUGCAUCCGAAACUGCCUUGCUCGAGUAUGGGAGAGGGAAGUGGAAUUUCCGGUGUAGCGGUGAAAUGCGUAGAUAUCGGAAGGAACAUCAGUGGCGAAGGCGACUUCCUGGACCAACACUGACGCUGAGGAGCGAAAGCCAGGGGAGCAAACGGG
rnacentral:rRNA from 1 species